rnacentral:rRNA from 1 species
CCUACGGGAGGCAGCAGUAGGGAAUAUUGGACAAUGGACGCAAGUCUGAUCCAGCCAUGCCGCGUGCAGGAUGACUGCCCUAUAGGUUGUAAACUGCUUUUAUACAGGAAGAAACCUCCCUACGUGUAGGGAGCUGACGGUACUGUAUGAAUAAGGACCGGCUAACUCCGUGCCAGCAGCCGCGGUAAUACGGAGGGUCCAAGCGUUGUCCGGAUUUAUUGGGUUUAAAGGGUACGUAGGCGGGACUUUAAGUCAGUGGUGAAAGCCUCCAGCUUAACUGGAGAAUUGCCAUUGAAACUGAAGUUCUUGAGUAUGGAUGAGGUGGUUGGAAUAUAACAUGUAGCGGUGAAAUGCAUAGAUAUGUUAUAGAACACCGAUUGCGAAGGCAGAUCACUAAACCAUUACUGACGCUGAGGUACGAAAGCGUGGGGAGCGAACAGGAUUAGAUACCCUGGUAGUCCACGCUGUAAACGAUGUUCACUCGCUGUUGGCGAUAUACUGUCAGCGGCCAAGCGAAAGCAUUAAGUGAACCACCUGGGGAGUACGAUCGCAAGGUUGAAACUCAAAUGAAUUGACGGA